UCAUGUUCCCUGCAUUUAAACCGAAGAGAACCUCCUAGAGACUUCAGGCUUUUACAGAUUUAUUGACCAGAUGUCCUGGAAGUGCCCCCUGAUGCAGACCCAGUUGUUGGGUAGCCACCCACGCACGUUGACACAGCCCCCAGCAGUGGGCACCCAUGGGGAUGGACCCAGGAGUGGAGGAUGACCCAAUAGGUGGUGGGUAGCCACCCAUGCACGUUGACACAGCCAGCAGCGAGUACCCAGGGCGAUGGACCCAGAAGUGGAGGAUGAUCCAAUAGGUGUGAGGAAAAGACGCAUACUAGAGGGAGUCGAGGACUUGGCUGGCCUACAAAAUGUCACUAAGGGAUGCAACUGACGGCUGAAGUAGGAUCUUUUUUGUUUUUUGGCCAUGACAAUGCUUUGACAGUUGAUAAUAAACUGAUAAUAAACUGAUAAUUACGAUACCAUGUGCACAUCAUUGUUUUUAUGGGUUGUUUAAGAAUAAUAAAAUGGAUGUACUCAUCGAAACCA